rnacentral:piRNA from 1 species
UGGUGCUUAUUGUUACUCUGGGUGG